GGCCGGGUGGCAGAGUGGCUAUGCACGCCCCCCGCAAGGUGCGUUACGUCGGUUCGAUUCCGACCUCGGCCUCCA
rnacentral:tRNA from 1 species